rnacentral:lncRNA from 1 species
AGCCCGUAGGCUUUGUCAGUUUCGACAGUCGCUCAGAAGCAGAGGCCGCAAAGAAUGCUUUGAACGGCAUCCGCUUCGAUCCUGAAAUCCCGCAAACACUACGACUAGAGUUUGCUAAGGCAAACACGAAGAUGGCCAAGAACAAACUCGUAGGGACUCCAAACCCCAGUACUCCUCUGCCCAACACUGUACCUCAGUUCAUUGCCAGGGAGCCAUUGUUUCUCUCCAGAGGCAAAGCCCAACACACCUGUCUUUUGUCCACUUCUUCAGCAAAUUAGAUUUGUCUCUGGGAAUGUGUUUGUCACGUAUCAACCCACUGCAGACCAACAGAGGGAGCUCCCAUGUUGAAUUUAUUAGCAAGCCUCCCCUGCCCCCUUUUGCAAAAACUAUUUCUUGAUGAUAUUUGAGAGAUUUCAAUAAAAAUUUUAAUCAGAGC